GACGAACCGUGCGAACGUUAUUCGGAAUCACUGGGCUUAAAGGGCGCGUAGGCGGGUUCACAAGUCUGUGGUGAAAUCCUCCAGCUUAACUGGAGAAGUGCCGUGGAUACUGUGAGUCUUGAGGAGGGUAGGGGCAUCUGGAACUGCCGGUGGAGCGGUGAAAUGCGUUGAUAUCGGCAGGAACUCCGGUGGCGAAGGCGAGAUGCUGGAUCCUUACUGACGCUGAGGCGCGAAAGCCAGGGGAGCAAACGGG
rnacentral:rRNA from 1 species